rnacentral:sRNA from 1 species
CGACCCUGCGACUCAUCGAUCUUGCGAAUAUGAGAAUACGUCCGACUCGGCAUCAUGAACCCUUAUUUUCGCAUCUCUGACAGUCUGAAUCACCUGGCACAGCACCAAUGGUUGGAACGAAUGAUUUUGAGCGAAUCUUGGUAAGAAUUCUGGUGUCUCUACGAAUCGUGCAAUAUUUUAACUUUCGCGAAAGGAUAUGUUACACUGAAUAAUCGUUUGAUACAGCUCUGAUCUCGUUCAACAAUUAGAGUAAUUAUCAGGCUUUUUAUGUCCACGGUUCAGCUACUAAAUCUAUUAUUGCUAUACAUACAAAGUUGAAGAUAUUUUGAUACUCUUCAUCAUGAUGAUCAAUUGUGGGAUGGAAUCUUGCCUGUUAAAUGGGCCGCGUUUUUAUGGUGGAUCUGGUGAAGUUUUUAAUCUUGCCAGGAGAUUUAGUGACUUUUGAACCGGAGUCUAAGACUCCAAACAGUUUCGACAUGGUGGAAAUUAUUCAUUGACAAGGCAACCAAGUCACCAAGGUGGAG